rnacentral:tRNA from 1 species
AGGGGUAUAGUUUAACGGUAGAACGACGGUCUCCAAAACCGUUGGUGGGGUUCGAUUCCCUCUACCCCUG